GACGAACGCUGGCGGCGUGCUUAACACAUGCAAGUCGAACGGAAAGGCCCCCACUUUUUUGGUGGGGGUGCUCGAGUGGCGAACGGGUGAGUAACACGUGGGUGAUCUGCCCUGUACUUCGGGAUAAGCUUGGGAAACUGGUUCUAAUACCGGAUAGGACCAUGGUUUAGUGUCUCAUGGUGGAAAAAUUAUUGUUUUGGUGCAGGAUGAGCUCGCGGCCUAUCAGCUUGUUGGUGGGGUAAUGGCCUACCAAGGCGUCGACGGGUAGCCGGCCUGAGAGGGUGGACGGCCACAUUGGGACUGAGAUACGGCCCAGACUCCUACGGGAGGCAGCAGUGGGGAAUAUUGCACAAUGGGCGCAAGCCUGAUGCAGCGACGCCGCGUGGGGGAUGACGGCCUUCGGGUUGUAAACUCCUUUCGUUAGGGACGAAGCCGCACAUUUUUGGGGUGUGGUGACGGUACCUUUGUUAAGAAGCACCGGCUAACUACGUG
rnacentral:rRNA from 1 species